UCUGUGCUCCGCAUGAGACACCACAAUUGGUGACCCCGACGUGAUCCGAUCCGGCAGGACCUGGUCGGAGUGCUCGAGAGAAGAAAAGCGGAGGUGGUGGCCGCGGCAGGAGGUACCGAGGGGAUAUCGGCUCCUGGUCGUCCGAGAGUGACGUUCGUGAGCUCACAGGUCCUAGAUGGCUGCCCGCGAAGUGGGUUCGACCGUGGCUUGCCCGCAGUAACCCGGAGCAACCACCGAGUGACCCACCGAGUGACCCGGAGGACGCAAACCAGGACGACGAUAUUCCAGACCUUCGUCUUCUUUUUAUUUGAGAUCAAGAUGUGUUGGAUAAUUGGACUAUUGUUUUGUAUGAUUUUAAUGCCUGCUGCAGCCGCGCCGGAUUUAGAACAGCGCUUGCGCUAUAAUAUUUGGGUGCGACUGGCUAAUGUGCUUAAUUAAUCUGAAUUCUGUUUAACUGUUGCACCCGAUAUGCAUGGCUUGUUGGGCACAUGCCUUGUGCCUGUUUGUAAAGCACCUGAAGAUUUACCUAUACC